rnacentral:tRNA from 1 species
UGGCUCAAUGGUAGAGCGUUAGACUUAAAAACCAAAGGUCGCGGGUUUGAAUCCCAG